rnacentral:miRNA from 1 species
UUUAACCUUCUUGUAUAAGCACUGUGCUAAAAUUGCAGAAACUAGGAUUGCCUUAGUUUUUGUAAUAAUGCUAGCAGAGUACACACAAGAAGAAAAGUAACUGCA